AGAGUUUGAUCCUGGCUCAGGAUGAACGCUGGCGGCGUGCCUAAUGCAUGCAAGUCGAACGGUCCUGUUGGCUUCGGCCUUCAGGGUAGUGGCGAACGGCUGAGUAACACAAAGGUAACCUGCCCUAAAGUGGGGAACAACUCCGAGAAAUCGGAGCUAAUACCGCAUGACGUCUUCAUAUGCUUUGUGAAGACGAAAGGCUUCGGCCGCUUAAGGAGGGGCCUUUGGCCUAUCAGGUAGUUGGUGGGGUAACGGCCUACCAAGCCGAAGACGGGUAGCUGGUCUGAGAGGAUGAUCAGCCAGACGGGGAAUGAGAGACGGCCCUGACUCCUACGGGAGGCAGCAGCAGGGGAUAUUGCGCAAUGGGCGAAAGCCUGACGCAGCGACGCCGCGUGGGGGAAGAAGGCCUUCGGGUUGUAAACCCCUUUUCUUGGUGAAGAGAAAGGACGGUAACCAAGGAAUAAGCCUCGGCUAAAUACGUGCCAGCAGCCGCGGUAAUACGUAUGAGGCGAGCGUUAUCCGGAAUUACUGGGCGUAAAGGGCGUGUAGGCGGCCUUUUAAGUUGGCGGUGAAAGCUCCCGGCUCAACCGGGAGAGGUCUGCCAAUACUGAAGGGCUAGAGGACAGCAGAGGAAGGUGGAAUUCCCGGUGUAGCGGUGACAUGCGUAGAUAUCGGGAGGAACACCAGUGGCGAAGGCGGCCUUCUGGGCUGUGCCUGACGCUGAGGCGCGAGAGCGUGGGGAGCGAAGCGGAUUAGAUACCCGCGUAGUCCACGCCGUAAACGGUGGAUACUAGGUAUAGGGAGUAUCGACCCUCUCUGUGCCGAAGCUAACGCUUUAAGUAUCCCGCCUGGGAACUACGGUCGCAAGACUAAAACUCAAA
rnacentral:rRNA from 1 species